rnacentral:lncRNA from 1 species
GAGAGAGGUGUACCAUCGGCAGCUGCCUCCACCAGGUCCUCUGCAACAGGGGCGGCUUCAACUUCCACAGCUUCCGCCACAGCGUCAGCCAAUGCCUCUGCCACAGCCUCCACUGGGGUUUCCACGACAGCUUCUGCCACAGCUUCGGCCACUGCCUGUGCUACAGCCUCCACGACAACUUCUGCCACAGCUGGAGCUUCUGCUUCAACAGCAGCAGCUUCAACAGCUGGGGUAGCUUCGGCUUCCGCUUCAACAGCCUCCACGACAACUUCCGCAACAGCAGCAGCUUCAACAACUGGGGCAUCAACAGCUGGGGCUUCUGCUUCGACAGCUGCUUCUACAGCAGGGGCAGUUUCUGCAGCUGCUUCAACAGCCGGGGCAGCUUCUGCAGCAGGGGCUUCUGCAACCACUUCAGGGGCAACUUCAGCUGCGGCAGCCUCAACAACGGGGGCAACCUCAGCUUCUACUGGAGCAACUUCAGCUGCAGCAACUUCAGGGGCGGCAGCCUCAACAACUGGGGCAACUUCAGCUGCCUCAACAACGGGGGCAACUUCAGCUGCGACAGCCUCAACAACUGGGGCAACUUCAGCUGCGGCGGCCUCAACAACUGGGGCAACUUCAGCAACUUCAGCUGCGACAGCCUCAACAACUGGGGCAGCGACGUCUACUGGAGCAACUUCAGCUGCGGCUGCCUCAACAACGGGAGCAACUUCAGCUGCGGCAGCCUCAACAACGGGAGCAGCCUCAACAACGGGGGCAACUUCAGCUGCCUCAACAACGGGGGCAACUUCAGCUGCGGCAGCCUCAACAACUGGAGCAACUUCUGCUGGGGUAGCCUCAACAACAGGAGCAGCAGCUUCUACGGGAGCAACUUCAGCAGCCUCAACAACAGGGGCAACUUCAGCAGCCUCAACAACAGGGGCAGCGACUUCUACUGGAGCAACUUCAGGGGCGGCGGCCUCAACAACAGGGGCGGCAGCUUCAGGGGCAGCGGCCUCAACAACGGGGGCAGCGACUUCUACAACAGGUGAGGCUUCUGCGACUGCUUCAGCGGCGGCGACAGUGGCCUCAGGUGCUGCUUCUGUGGCAGUGGCGGUGGCAGCGGCGACCUCGGCUACGGGCUCGGCCACCGGUGAUUUAGCAGCUACUUCGGCCGCGGCCGCCAAGAUCUCCUUCUUGGGGAAAUCCACCAGCGUUCUGUGCUGGACCAUUUUCUCUAGAUCAAAGUAG